rnacentral:sRNA from 1 species
GGCGGCGUAUUGCUCAGCCCGUUUCUGGUCUAUGUGCUGAUGGCCCUGGCGCUUACCGGAUUGCUGCGUCUGGUGGUGCAGGCCACGCCUUUGGGGCGCUGGAUCUGGCACGAAGCAUUGUUCGAUGCCGCAUUG